rnacentral:rRNA from 1 species
CCUACGGGUGGCAGCAGUGAGGAAUAUUGGUCAAUGGGCGAGAGCCUGAACCAGCCAAGUCGCGUGAAGGAUGACGGCCCUACGGGUUGUAAACUUCUUUUGUCAGGGAGCAAUUGAGUCCACGUGUGGGCUUAGCGAGAGUACCUGACGAAAAAGCAUCGGCUAACUCCGUGCCAGCAGCCGCGGUAAUACGGAGGAUGCGAGCGUUAUCCGAAUUUAUUGGGUUAAAAGGGUGCGUAGGCGGAAUAUCAAGUCAGCGGUAAAAAUUCGGGGCUCAACCCCGUCGUGCCGUUGAAACUGAUGUUCUUGAGUGGGCGAGAAGUAUGCGGAAUGCGUGGUGUAGCAGUGAAAUGCAUAGAUAUCACGAAGAACUCCGAUUGCGAAGGCAGCAAACCGGCGCCCAACUGACGCUGAAGAACGAAAGCGUGGGUAGCGAACAGGAUUAGAUACCCCAGUAGUC